rnacentral:precursor_RNA from 8 species
UUUCUUCCUCUGCAUUUAUUGGGUUGGCCAAAAAGUUCAUUAGGGUUUUUCUGUGAGAUGGGAUGGAAAAAACCGAGUGGACUUUUUGGCCAGCCCAUUGUACUCAGUGUGAGCCUUU